rnacentral:tmRNA from 1 species
GUCUUUCCCCAACGUACGUGAAAAGGGAGACUAGGGUGCGUGAUCGGCUGUUCUGGACAGGGGUUCGAUUCCCCUCAUCUCCACCA